GACGAACGCUGGCGGCGUGCUUAACACAUGCAAGUCGAACGGAAAGGCCCUGCUUUUGUGGGGUGCUCGAGUGGCGAACGGGUGAGUAACACGUGAGUAACCUGCCCUUGACUUUGGGAUAACUUCAGGAAACUGGGGCUAAUACCGGAUAGGAGCUCCUGCUGCAUGGUGGGGGUUGGAAAGUUUCGGCGGUUGGGGAUGGACUCGCGGCUUAUCAGCUUGUUGGUGGGGUAGUGGCUUACCAAGGCUUUGACGGGUAGCCGGCCUGAGAGGGUGACCGGCCACCUUGGGACUGAGAUACGGCGCAGACUCCUACGGGAGGCAGCAGUGGGGAAUAUUGCACAAUGGGCGGAAGCGUGAUGCGGCAACGCCGCGUGCGGGAUGACGGCCUUCGGGUUGUAAACCGCUUUCGCCUGUGACGAAGCGUGAGUGACGGUAAUGGGUAAAGAAGCACCGGCUAACUACGUG
rnacentral:rRNA from 1 species